CAACCACGAGGCUAUCCAAGCAGCCCUGUGGAGAGGCACACAUAGAGAGGAACUGAGACGUCCCAUCAACAGCCAACACAAAUGUGAGUGGUCUACGUGAGAGGGCCACCUUCAAAGUGGAUUCUCCAGCCAUAGCCAAGGCUUGACAGGUCCAGUCAACAUCUUUAUGGCAACCUCAUGAGAAACUCCAAACCACAACAGCUCAGCCAAGCUGUUCCUGAAUUCCUGAGCCACAGAAAUGCUGCAGAAUGGACAUCUCAUCCACAGCAGACCAAUCAGCGCUCUUUCCAGUGACAUUCAGAAGAGAAUUAAAGGGAAAAAGACCCUUUCCCUUUUGGUGAGAAACUGAGAAGGUGACUCCUGGAGCUGCGGGCAGCUGUGGUUCCAGCCUUAGCGGAAGAUGUUUAUCUAAAGGAAUGAAGAUGACCUGCAGAGAAAAUUAAAGACACGAACUUAGUCACCAGGUGAAGAAACCCAGGCUAGCCUGCUGGAGACAAGAAGCACCAUUUGCCAGACAUGAGAGGAAGACCACCAGAGAUCAUCUGGCCCACAUCAAGUUAUGCCACAUGAGGGACCCCGGAGAUCAGCAGAAGAACCAUCAGCCUGAACGCAGCCCCAAAUGAUGGUUCACAGUUAUGAGCAAAUGAAAUGGUG
rnacentral:lncRNA from 1 species